AAAAGAAAUUUUCGUUGCAUAUUUAGAUUGUCUUUAGCUGUUAAUUCUCUAUAUGGAGUUUCGAUUGGUUUCAUUCGGUGAAAUCCAGAAAAAUCAAGCUUCGAUUUUAAUAUCGGCGAUGAUUUUCUCACCGGAAUCGUACUUGGACGGCGGAGGUUGAUGACAAAACCCUUUAGAUUAUUCAUCCACUGUGUAGCUGUUCAGUUUAGAGCUAUUGACAUGUGAAGUUGGAUAGAGCCACAUAUCAUUUAUUCUCUAUUAAGUAAUGCUUUGAAGCUUAUGUUGGGCUUAAAAAAUGUUUCCUGUAAUCUUAAUGUUUGUAGGGCUUUUAGCCCAUGUACGGUUUGCUACCUCUAUAAUAAUAUUUAUCCAUAAGAAAAAAAUGAUAAGACCCGCCUAAAUAGACGGAUAUCCUUUAUCUUAUAAAUCACAAAUCACCUAAUCCAUAAAAAUUUGCCACAUAGAUUUUGUUUCAAUAUUUUGAUAAAAAUAAAAAUCUGUUAAAAAACAGUUCUAAAAUAAAAA
rnacentral:sRNA from 1 species